rnacentral:rRNA from 1 species
AACCAGCACCUCAAGUGGUCAGGAUGAUUAUUGGGCCUAAAGCAUCCGUAGCCGGCUCUGUUAGUUUUCGGUUAAAUCUAUGUGCCCAACGCAUGGGCUACCGAAAAUACUGCAGAGCUAGGGAGUGGCAGAGGUAGACGGUAUUCGGUAGGAAGGGGUAAAAUCCUUUGAUCUAUUGAUGACCACCUGUGGCGACGGCGGUCUACCAGAACACGUCCGACGGUGAGGGAUGAAAGCUGGGGGAGCAAACCGG